rnacentral:misc_RNA from 1 species
GAGAGAGAGAGAGAGAGAGAUGGGGAUGAAGGUAAAUUGUUUAUAUCCUUCUGCAGUUAGCGAAAUCCCCCUUAACUAACAAUGUAAUAACAUAUAACUAUCUCUCAACAAUCCAUUUCCCUCAAGCCUCUUACAGAUGGUAAGACAUAACAAAAAAUAGAGCGAAACACAGCUGUCUUACUAACAGAUAUAUUAACAGGACGUUAAUAUAGAAAUGCAUCUUGGUAACAGAUUAAUGCUUGCUUUGAAGGAAACUAUUCAGGAAUCUUUGACAGAUGACCAGUUAAUACUUGGUAAAUGCCUAAGCAGACUUUCUAAAAGCCUAGAGUGGGGAGGUAGAUGAAUCCCAGUAAGAGACAAGUAGCUGCAACUUGAACCCACAAGCAAGCAAAUCUCCUCAAGGCAUCAUAUGUUGCAAUCAAAGUUUAAUAGAAGUGAUUCUUGUGGGCUUGAUGCAGGUGACUGCUGAAUGCAGUCAAACAAUGUAAACUACAAAAAUGACUUCUAAGUUCUGAGAUUCUUAAAUGCACCAAAAAAAAAAAAGACUGCUCAUAUUCUUUGGAAUACCAAACUGCAGUUUUUGGGGUAAAUAUUCCAUUCUACAAAAGGCAUCCCCAGUGAACAAGCAUGUGACUGGAAGAGCAACCUUACUGUUGUGCCAAGGUUUGCUCCCUGCAUAUUACAUUCUAUGACUAAAAUUCAAUCCUGAUUCUAGCAGAAUUAUAAGGAACUUGUGAUCUAGUUUACUUCCUAGGAUGCCUACAUCUAUGUUAAAAAAUAAAUGAACCAUAAGAAUCUACUAGGAAAAGGACUGAUAUUAACACCUCCACCAAUCAUGGCAGAGAACUGGAGCUUACACUGAAAGCAUUGAUCUGCCAAAUAGUCGAACAACUUAAACAGUCGGAGUGGGCCUUUAAACUAUGGGAGAUGCAUUUUUGCAGAUCUUUUAAGCAAAUUAACAUAUUGUUUCUUGUUGCUUUUGUUUUAAAUUUGAGUAGCCCUUAAUCAAUGGGUUGACAUCAUAAAGGAUAUGCAUGUUUUUAUUGUCAUUAAGAGAUGGAUUAUUCAAUGUUGCUGUUGCUGUUGCUGAAAGCUGACAAUCCAUUUCUUCCCUUGCCCAUCCAAAUAUACACUAACACACAGCCCGUACACAGCCCCAAAAAAAGAAAGAAACAGGAACUGCUUAAAAAAUUUCUUUAAAAAAAAUUGAUUCAUGAAUAGUCCUCUCACCAAGUUAACAAUAUCAAUAUGUGGGAUCAAAUUCUCCUCAUAAUGGUGUUACGCAUUAAGUUAUAUUCGUGCCUAGCUCUGUAUAUGUUCGUGUCGCGCCAACAUUGUGACUUCUCAAAUGAGACCUAAUAUUUUGUCUUAAAAUAAUUUUUCUUAGUUAAACUUCAUUCGUAUUGACUUCAUAAGCUAGCAAUUCAAGAGACGGCCUAAAUCAACUGAAGAAAAUCAUAAUAAGUAAAGCACUUGAAUUCUGAAGCAGUGAAAACUUUCAGGCAACAAUAUAUGCACUAUAUCAUAGAAUAUGAAUUUAAAUCUUCAUCCAAUCA